UAACCUGCCCAAGAGAUCGGGAUAACACCUGGAAACAGAUGCUAAUACCGGAUAACAAUAGAUGAUGCCUAUCAACUGUUUAAAAGAUGGUUCUGCUAUCACUCUUGGAUGGACCUGCGGUGCAUUAGCUAGUUGGUAGGGUAACGGCCUACCAAGGCGAUGAUGCAUAGCCGAGUUGAGAGACUGAUCGGCCACAUUGGGACUGAGACACGGCCCAAACUCCUACGGAGGCAGCAGCG
rnacentral:rRNA from 1 species